UUCCCAUCGAUUGGCGAGAGAAUCUAACAAAUACACAGAGGAGAUGGAGCAUAAAAUUGGGCGGACUGACUCAGAGCACUAAAUGGAGAGAAAUGCUCAAUUAUUGUGGGAUUUGCCCAGAGGAGCAGCCUCAGGAACUGAAGGGGAUCCUGUCCUGUCCCUCCCAGAGGAAGGCUCACGAUUGGAUUGGAACUUCUAGCGACUGCCUGAGCGUGUCCUCCGGGCCAUGGGGAAACAGAGGCAGAGAGACUCGGGAAGGAGAAAUGGAGAACCCAGGGCAACGCAGUCGGUGCUGAAGCGCCAUCCCUUUUUCACUGAUACCCCUCUGGGCCCCGGGGCCGGAAGCCCUUCGCACACUCCAGCCCCGGGCAGUCCAGGCUGGGUUCCCAGCGCCCGUGGCUCUGUGGCCGGGAGGCUCCUUGCUCUCGCCCGCGUGGUCCUGAGAUCUGUAGCUCGCUCCCACAGGCCCCGGGAUUGGCUGCACCACGCAGCUGUCGUCCAGUUCCGGAGCUGCCGUGUUCAAUCCGAUUCCCUCUGAUGCUUUCACUGAUAUUAAAAUUUCCCUUUUCGAACUGACCUUUUAUUUAUUUUUUUUAACGCAGUCAUUUUUGGGAGGCAACAACUCGAACAUCCUGUAUCUGUAAUCAGAUAAUCUCACUCCUGCUUUUGUAUUCCUGCAGCUUUAAACUCUGCAAAUAUUUGUGUCCUUCACCAAAAAAGGCGUUCCUCAGUCUACCUCCAACCUCGCCGGGCAACUUAUCUUUCCCGAGCUCACAGUCUGACUCCGGGUCUCUUAGUCUCUUGUGCUCUUGAAGCAAUUCAGCAGAAAAGACACGGUUUUGGUUUUGGUUUGGGGUGACUAGUAGUGGGGUUUUUACCCCCUUGAUGUUUGGGGGAUUUGUGCUUGUUUUAUUACUAUUUUUGUUGUUUCCUGCAGUCAAGGAAAACUGUCGGUGUUACAAGCAAACUUACUGUCACCAGCCUCAGGGACGUGAGUUCCAGUUCUGGACACUUCAUUUUCUCUCUCUCUGGUCUUCCCUGGCCCACGUUCAGUUUCUUAACUGUCCUUGUCCUUGAUCUUUUCCCGAAAUGCCUGGACCCUCGCCUUAGUCUCUGCUCCGAUUUGCCCCCUUUCUUUAAUUUGUCUUGUGUGUUAGCGCUGGGUCAGCGCGCCCUUUGUGCUGAGGUCCUGGGCCGGUGAGUGUGUGCGUGCGUGCAUGUGUGUGUGUGCGUGUGCGUGUGUGUGUUGCAGUGUGUGUUUCUUUUGUUAUUUUCUCCCCUAACACCGAAGAAAUGAAACACACAUGCAGCUCUGUCGCCUCGUAUAUUCAGAUGUUUUUCACACUAUUGUCUGCUCCAGCCCGUUGAAAGUGCAAAGUGAAAACAGAUGCAUCCGAAAAAAAUUUUUUGAAAGGGGACAAUCCUAGGAUGGAGACUAACCCCUCGAAUACAGAUAAGCAAUAAAUAUUGUAUCAGAUUUAUAACGUGAAUCGAGCAGUCUUGAUUAGCACCAAGGUGAGCUUUGGUGAGAUUUUUAUC